UGAGGGUGUGUGUGGUUGGGGGAAUUAUAGAACAUUCCCAGGAAUUUUAAGAUGGGAAUAUGAAAUUCCUAUGUGUGGUUCAAAGUUAAAAAAAACAUUCCAAGAACUAAACCCUAGCAGAGCAGUUUUUUCCCAAAUCAGUGAGCUUUACCAACGCCACCGCCACCGGAGCCGGCACCGGCACCGGCACCGCCGUUACUCUAAACGGAAGAUUCGUCUCCUUAUCUUCUCCGAUUCAUGUUCGCACUGCUUUUCUCUGUGAAUUUUCUUCGAAUCUCAUAUUAAGGUUUGAGUUUUUUCCCAAAUCAAUGGAGGCUUCACCAACGCCACCGCCAUCGGAGCUACACCGGCGCCACCGCCAUCGGAGCUACACCGGUGCCACCGUUACCUUAAACGGAAGACUGGUUUCCUUCUCUUUUUCAAGUUCAUGUUCGCAUUGCUUAUCUCUGCGAAUUCUCUUUGAAUCUCUCGUUAAGUGCUUAAACUUCCUUGGACUCAUAUGCUACCUGCUGUUGAUAACCAUUGCCCCUGAAAAGCAAAAUACCUUUCUCUUCAAGUAUUAUCCAAGCUAGGCCCAAACUUGAGCAGCAGUGUUGUUCUUGAAGUUUUAGAUAUGGGUCUGCAUGAUGAAGCUGAAAAAGUAAGAACUGAAGCUGUCAUUUCUAUGCUAGUGAUGCUUUCCUGGUCUACUCUUGAUAUAUCAUCUCCUGUCAUUCAAAAGAUUGAGUACAUAAAGAGAGAUAAUGAGAAGGUAAAGAAAUUGGUUCCCAUAACACUUGGUCUGUUGUCAUGCCUUUAUGGAUGAAGAGGAGCUACCUCUGGCAUACAUACAGAUGAAUGCCUUUAUGGUGAAGUCAUUGUUGUUUUCUCUAACCAUUUUGGAGAUCAUUUUGGUGUCUGGUUUCUUCUGAGCAU